rnacentral:rRNA from 1 species
CCAGAGAACUUUCCAGAGAUGGAUUGGUGCCUUCGGGAACUCUGAGACAGGUGCUGCAUGGCUGUCGUCAGCUCGUGUUGUGAAAUGUUGGGUUAAGUCCCGCAACGAGCGCAACCCUUUAUCCUUUGUUGCCAGCGGUCCGGCCGGGAACUCAAAGGAGACUGCCAGUGAUAAACUGGAGGAAGGUGGGGAUGACGUCAAGUCAUCAUGGCCCUUACGAGUAGGGCUACACACGUGCUACAAUGGCGCAUACAAAGAGAAGCGACCUCGCGAGAGCAAGCGGACCUCAUAAAGUGCGUCGUAGUCCGGAUUGGAGUCUGCAACUCGACUCCAUGAAGUCGGAAUCGCUAGUAAUCGUAGAUCAGAAUGCUACGGUGAAUACGUUCCCGGGCCUUGUACACACCGCCCGUCACACCAUGGGAGUGGGUUGCAAAAGAAGUAGGUAGCUUAACCUUCGGGAGGGCGCUUACCACUUUGUGAUUCAUGACUGGGGUGAAGUCGUAACAAGGUAAGCGUAGUGCU